AGCUGGUCCAAGAGCAGUGGUGUUUACAACUAUUAAUAAUUGAUCAUAACCAGUUAUAGUCCUUUGUUCCUCCCUCCAUUCCCACUGCUUCACUUGACUAGCAAAAA
rnacentral:Y_RNA from 1 species